CCCUCCUAGAGAGGUGUGUGUGUCUGUGUUUUCCUGUCCUUGAACAUGUAAGAAUUGGAGGUAAAAUGAUGUGGACUUUGAGAAGACUGGAGCCAGCUUGCUCCCUGCAGGCUCAAUAUCACCCUUCCCACUUUG